AUUGAACGCUGGCGGAAUGCUUUACACAUGCAAGUCGAACGGUAGAGGGGGCAACCCCUUGAGAGUAGGCGAACGGGUGAGUAAUAUAUCGGAACGUGCCCAGUCGUGGGGGAUAACGUAGCGAAAGUUACGCUAAUACCGCAUACGAUCUACGGAUGAAAGCGGGGGACCGUAAGGCCUCGCGCGAUUGGAGCGGCCGAUAUCAGAUUAGGUAGUUGGUGGGGUAAAGGCUCACCAAGCCAACGAUCUGUAGCUGGUCUGAGAGGACGACCAGCCACACUGGAACUGAGACACGGUCCAGACUCCUACGGGAGGCAGCAGUGGGGAAUUUUGGACAAUGGACGCAAGUCUGAUCCAGCCAUUCCGCGUGCAGGAUGAAGGCCCUCGGGUUGUAAACUGCUUUUGUACGGAACGAAAAGGUCUCUCUUAAUACGGGGGGCUCAUGACGGUACCGUAAGAAUAAGCACCGGCUAACUACGUG
rnacentral:rRNA from 1 species